UCUCUCUCAGCAAACAGGAGGGUCGGUCUCAGCAUGCACUGUGGGUAUCUCAUCCUCACUGCCUUCCUGGGGCAACUGCUGGAAACCAUGGGCCAGGUGUCUGUCACCCAGCAAGAAGGACAAGUCACCGUGGAGCAGAGAAACACCUUCCAGACCACUUGCAUGUACCAGAGCUCCAGCUUUUAUGGUUUGCUCUGGUACCAGCAGAAGAAGGGCCAAGGCCCUCAGCUAAUUUCAAAUCAAGCAAUAGCAGGCACCAAGCAGAGCGUCCGUUUCACCACAGAGCUGAACAUCACGGGGAAAUAGAGUGUUCUGCAGCUGAAAGAAGUUGAGCUCUCUGACAGCGCCUUGUACCUCUGUGCUGUGCGUGACACCCUGGUGCAGAGAGGUACCCUGGUUGAGCAAUAACCCUGAGAAGGGAGGGGAUGUGUCUGUGCAAGGCAGAGCUCUGGGAUGGGGCCCUCAGCUCUCCCCUGGCUGUGCUGCUUCCCCUGUUCACCCCGAUAUCUGCCAGCCAUAUCCCCUUUCCCAAAGGGGCUGGUGUCUGUGGCUGUGCAGAGAGUGCUGACCCUGACUGC